rnacentral:rRNA from 1 species
UACGUAGGGUGCAAGCGUUGUCCGGAAUUAUUGGGCGUAAAGAGCUCGUAGGCGGUUCGUCGCGUCGGCUGUGAAAUCCCGAGGCUCAACCUCGGGUCUGCAGUCGAUACGGGCGGACUGGAGUUCGGCAGGGGAGACUGGAAUUCCUGGUGUAGCGGUGAAAUGCGCAGAUAUCAGGAGGAACACCGGUGGCGAAGGCGGGUCUCUGGGCCGAUACUGACGCUGAGGAGCGAAAGGCGUGGGGAGCAAACAGG